ensembl:lncRNA
CUUUUUUUUUUGUACCAGGGAUCAAACUCGGGACCUUGUGCUUUCAAGGCAGGCGAUGGAACCACUGAGCUAAAUCCCCAGUCUCCCUGAGUGUUAAUUGGCCAAAGGAGGCUCCUUCCUCUGGGAUCAAGUGCUGAGAGGAUUUGGAGAAUCUGAGCUCUUGCUAAGUUGCCUAGGCUGAGCUCAAACUUGAGAUCCUCCUGCUUCAGCUUCCCAGAGUGCUGGGAUUACAGGUAUGUACCACCAUUCUGACUGAUUAGAGACCUUAAUUACAUCUGGAAACAUCCCUUCACUGUUGCCACAUAACACAACCUGAUGACAAGGGAGACAUCUGGUACAUUUAGCAGUUGUGUGUCUGUCCACGCAGCAGGGCACAGGCUCAGGGAGCAUGUGGAUGCCCAGAGGCAGCAUCUGAGAAUUCUGCUGACCACAACCCUUAACCUACUUCCCUUACUAAUUUUCCCUCCCUGUCCCAGGAAAUGCUGUCACAUAGCCCUAGAGGCUGAGCUCAGGAACCCAGGCAGUGUUACUUUAGGAGGGUGGCUCUGCUGGGUCUGGGAAGGUGAGCAUGGGGUCCCCUCUAGCUUUGUGCCCCCCAGCCGGGGAACCCACCCACACAUGCUCAGGUGGACCUUACCGUCUCCUAUGCUGCCCAAGCUGAAGCAGAAAGGCUUGGAGCCUCUGAAGGGGUCCAAGUGGCCCUGCCUGUGGUCCUGGAAAGGGGCCAGUGUAUAGGGAGGGGGUGUAUCCUCUUGGGGGAGAGGCCAGACACACAGCCUGGGGGGCCAGGCCCAACAUCCACCACCUGCUUGGCAAUAUUUGGCCUCCCCUCUCCCCACCCUGCUAUUCACCAGUUACCUUUGAGUCCCUGGUUAUCCUUUGGGUCACCCCCUUACCCUGAAAGGGGAGGUUACUGCUAAGAGUGGGAGUAACAGAAUCUCUGCCACUUCAAGGUUGCUUCAAGGAGUCAAUGCCACAGCUGGGAGAGGGUGCCCAUUCCUGAGUGCCACCAUCUUUAUGCCCCCCAGCACCCCACUGCCCUCCCUUCAUGGACUCAAGUCCCACUGUCCACAUUAACAGAUUAUUUGUGAGUGCUUGCUAGGUGCUAGGCCAACACUCCAGCCUUCUCUGAUCCGAAGCUUAGGAUCCCUCAGGGGGCUGGAGGGGAAGGCAGCUGUGGUGUGCUGGGCUCAGUAGAGGGGGCUCCCAGCAGUCCCUCAUCCAGGCUUUGAAGGGAGACAAGCUGCAGGUCAUUUCCAGGGUGAGGGAGCCACCAUCUCUGGCAGCAGGGCCUCAACUUGGA